rfam:Arabis alpina cultivar Pajares Aa.chr6_contig_5862, whole genome shotgun sequence.
ACUAUGAUGAUUAUUGCUAAAAUUAUGGAAUUACCGUCUGAGAUUUAUACAUUGAUGUGAAAAACGCUGCAAUUACUGAGU